GUGAGGAAUAUUGCACAAUGGGCGAAAGCCUGAUGCAGCAACGCCGCGUGAGUGAUGAAGGCCUUUGGGUCGUAAAACUCUGUCCUUGGGGUAGAAAAAAAUGACGGUACCCUUGGAGGAAGCCCCGGCUAACUACGUGCCAGCAGCCGCGGUAAUACGUAGGGGGCAAGCGUUAUCCGGAAUUAUUGGGCGUAAAGAGUGCGUAGGUGGUUUUGUAAGCGUAGGGUGAAAGGCAGUAGCUCAACUAUUGUUAGCCCUGCGAACUGUGAGACUUGAGUGCAGGAGAGGAAAGUGGAAUUCCUAGUGUAGCGGUGAAAUGCGUAGAUAUUAGGAGGAACACCAGUGGCGAAGGCGACUUUCUGGACUGUAACUGACACUGAGGCACGAAAGCGUGGGUAGCAAACAGGAUUAGAUACCCGGGUAGUCC
rnacentral:rRNA from 1 species